CUUCGAAGAAACAAGCCUUGUGUUGUUCCCAAGGAGGAUUAGCGGUUCCUGAGUCAUUUCUUAAGCACGGUCCGUGUAGCUGCGACAAAGGACGCUCCAGAACUCCUGACACUCAUCUCUCAGUGCAGGCAAAGGCCUAUCAACACAGCAGGAAGCAAAACCACCAGCAGCAGCAGCGUCACCCCCUUUCUUGGGAGGAGAGGAAGAGAAAACCACUGUGUCUUGCAGCAGCUAAGAAGGGCAGGGUGCUGGUAAUUUAUUCCCCAAAAAACAGUCCCUGGCUCACUGAGGGCAGGGCCGCCCAGAAAUCUUUUGACCAACUCAGCCAAGGCACAGGAAGUGAUGCCAGGAGCAAAACGAGUUCCCUGAGAAGAUGAAGUAACCCUGUGAUUUGCAGAUCUGGGAUGUGGGCACAGAUCACUGAACAUUUCCACGUCUUCUGUGUAGAGUCUUCGUGGAACCAAAGGAGGUGCAAGAGAAAGGAGCUGGGGAUGCUUCACCUGUACAAGAACAAACACUGCUCUUCAAACAACAAGGGUAAUCUCUAAAUCCCUCUCCUCAGAAGGAGUAGGCUACACACUGUAUUAAACACUGACAGUGCUGUUCUAGAGAAUGAGAUGGGAAAGAGAAGUCCUGUUCUCUGUACAUUUUUUCAAAUUAUAAAAAGGGUAAUUUUUUUAGUUCCAAAAUAUUCCCGAAUAUGCAUUCUUAGAAUAGUUAAACCCAUUAAAAUUUAAUUUAAUAAUAAUGUUUCUUCUCUGUUUCUGGGUCAGUUCUCAACUUCCUCAGCUGGUGCUGAAUUGGAGUAACAAAGUUCUGGGAUUAACCACUGUAAAUGUAGUCAUCAAACUUUCUUUUAGGUGCCUUCCCAGGUAGAAACUGCUAAACCAAUGCAGCCAAAUAUAUCACAAACUACAGGUUAUAGUGGUGUUGCCCCACCACCUGAAUUAGAGCUGUGACCUCUUAAGUAUUUCCUAGAUCAGUGCUCCUGAGGACUCCCGACAGCCAUGCCAAAAAUGGAAACCUUCCCUAUUCAGCUUGGGAUCAGAGGAACAACUCAAAAGACAAACAUUUCAAUGCAUUCCAAGGGUUGUCUGUCAAAGAAGGAUUCAGCCAACAAAGGCUGACACCUUCCUGUCCAGGGGUGAGCUGUCUCACCUCUCUGAGGUGGCUGCAGUCCAGUUCCUUCUGGCUCUGAUGCCUCUGCAAACGUCGGCCCUGGCAGCGACUCGGCCUGGUCCAAGUCCGUGUGUCCCUGAAAAUGAGGUGAAUGCUCUUACACUUGGUGGGACAGAGUGGAAAUCACAGAAACUUUGGGGCUUCUUCACAGGUUUUCAGGCCUCUUAGUCCUGAAAAAAAAAAAAACCAAACAAACCAAAACCGAAAAUAAAACUCCCCAGACUGUUUCUGGAGAGCUUUUUCUGAAAUUUUACCUUGUACUGAUAUUUCCGGUUCAAAUAAGGAACCGUAAAUCAUCUGAGACCAAACAGAUGACGAGGCAUUUCAUAAAGACAUUAUGCAGCAUUUAUCCCAAAUAGCUUCUGCAGGAACGGUGCUCGACAGCCGUGCAGGCCAACUGGAGGAUGAGGAUGGGAGUGCAAAACCACCUGAAACUCUUUAAUCCCAUUUUUAACGUUAUGGAAUCUCAGUAUAAAAAGUUUUUUUCCGUGAGCCAGCUGGUGUUAGGAACACGUGACUACUACGUGGGCUAUCAACCUCUUCCAGCCAGUCUCCAAUUCCUAGAAAUUGCUUUAUGCCCAAGUCAUUACUGCCUAAUUAGAGCCCACAAGGGAAGUUCCAUGGCACUGUGGGCACAAUUGCAUGUUUGGAGACUCCUGCCAGGCACAGGGACUGUAAGUGCUUGCUUGGUCAGGCUCGUACAAAAAUGCUUUUGUAGCUGCCUUCAAGGGCUGGGAGUUUAUUGGCAGUUAUUUCACCCAUGGAUCACCAGGUUCUUAUUCAGAACCAAGACUGCAGAGUUUUCCUUUGCCCUUCCUUAUUUCUUUUGUUUUGAGUUCACACAAAAGGUCUGGUUUCGGGAGGGGGGGGUAAAGACCUGGUUUGGGCUGAAAAAGUCUUAAUUGCGAGAAUCAAAACAGUCAUGUAACUAUGACACAUUGUUUUAAAAAAAAUCCUUGGAAUAAUACAAAUGACAUCCUAAUAUUUCAAGGUCCGUACUUUAUUUUUCUAAUCUAAUUUUAGACCUUCUUCAUGGGGAAAAAAGGUCACGAUUGGAACUUUUUGUCCCCAGUCCUGGACCAUUAGGACAAAUAUUAUAUCCAGUAUUUGGGUUAAGAAAAAACUAAUCUGUUUAGGUGUUGCUUGAUGUUUUUCAAAAGGACUUAAUUUCAGUCAUUUUUAUUGCAAUGUUUUGUGGGUUUGGUUUUUUUUUUCUUUUUUGGAGGGUUUUUUUUCUUAUUGCAUGUGCAAAACUAAAGGUAUUGGGAAAAAAUGCUGCUGCAGUUUAAUUUAUGCUACACAGAA